rnacentral:rRNA from 1 species
AUUGAACGCUGGCGGCAGGCCUAACACAUGCAAGUCGAACGAGUGGCGGACGGGUGAGUAAUGUCUGGGAAACUGCCCGAUGGAGGGGGAUAACUACUGGAAACGGUAGCUAAUCCCGCAUACCAUCGGAUGUGCCCAGAUGGGAUUAGCUUGUAGGUGAGGUAACGGCUCACCUAGGCGACGAUCCGUAGCUGGUCUGAGAGGAUGACCAGUCACACUGGAACUGAGACACGGUCCAGACUCCUACGGGAGGCAGCAGUGGGGAAUAUUGGACAAUGGGCGCAAGCCUGAUCCAGCCAUGCCGCGGGUGUGAAGAAGGGCUUCGGGUUGUAAAGCACUUUAAGCUGGGAGGCGUUACCAGCAGAAGAAGCACCGGCUAACUUCGUGCCAGCAGCCGCGGUAAUUC